GCCAGAGCCCCUCGUCGUACGGGUACGAGAAUGGCGCAGACGUUAGUGGCCGAGGCCGAAAUAACAACCUCCGUUUAAUAACGAUGGAGGAAUUAACUAGCAUAGCCUGUUGACGAAGAAUCAAGAUUUAUAUACUGUGUCUACAAUAAUCAUCAAGAUAUCCGAAUGUGAUUAUUCAAGCCGCAACAAGUGCAACUUCAAACUGGGUUCAGGAGAACGGCUUCCCAAACAUAAAACCCAUGUCUUCGACUUCUAAGACUGUAUCAAAAUUCAUAUGAUUGAUAAUAUACGACGAAUUAUCUUUACUACCAUUUAUUUGAAGGAGUUUGUUUUGGCCGUCGUCGUCGCGUUGCCGUCCUAAAAUGGUAAGGUCUAAUAAUGGCAACUGACAAUCAGGAUCAUUGAAUGACAAGGCUGUCGAUCGAGACUGACGAGGCAUAUCUUUGUAUAAAUUAUAUUGAGGUAGGUUUCCUCCGCUUGACUUUUUAAAAUAAAUCUUCAAAAUAAAUCGAUGUUCGCGGAUAAUUUGUUUCCUAAACGGACUUCUUUACAUGUUGCAAAUUUAUAACUUUUCUUGUUUAUAUUCAGCUAGAAAAGUUUUAUUAUUUAUACAAUACGGUCCAUACAUAACGGAAAGUCGGAAAUGCCUGUGUCAGUGCUUUUUUCCCUACAAGUCUUUAUCUAUUUCUUCAUUGAAAGAGGUCAUGAGGUUCUUACAGAGACCGCCUCUUAACUCUUGCCCGGAUGAAACGAGGAUGCGGAGAGCAUGGAUGCAUGACGGUUGGCAGUCAGACACGCGAUCUUUAGUAGCUGUUCUUAAUGCUUUCCCAACACCAUCUUGUUCUCUAUUCAAGUAAGUACAAG